GAGUGCAGGAGAGGGAAAGUAGCAAGAAAUGACAUCAGAGAGAGGCCAAGAGACGUAGGGACUUGUAGGUUAUUGUGAAGACUUUGACUUUUCUCUGAGGGAGAAAGGAAGCCAUCGGCAGCUUGGAGCCCAGGAGUGAUGUGCCCUGACUUACCUUUUAAAAGGCUCACUCCAGGUACUGUGAUGACUGAAGGUGGAAGCAUUAGGAGGCUAUAGCAGGAACACAGGCAAGUAAUGAUGGUGGCUUGAACCAGGGUGACAGCAAAGGACAUGGUGAGAAGUGGUGGAUUCUGGAUAGCGAUAGAAAGAGAAGGAAGAGCCAUCAGGAUUCGUUGACAGCUCAGAUGUAGGGUGUGAAAGAGGCGUUAAGAAGGGCUCCAAAAUUUUUGGUCUCGACGGCAGAAAAGAUAGAGGUGCCGUUAACUUUGUCAGGGAAGAUGGCAGGGGGAACCGAUUUUCUGGGAGAAAGUCAGGAGCUCAGCUUUGAACAUGUGAGGCUUGAAAUGCCAUUUAGAUCCAACUGGAGACACUGGGUAAUGGUUGGAUGUAUGUGAGUGUGGAGUCCGGGGGAGAGGCCAUCAGCACCUGGAUGACAUGGAAAGCUGUGAGAAUGGACGAGACCUCGAAGGAAAAGAGGAUAGUCAGAGAAGAGAUGACAACCAAAACCUGAGCUUGAGGACCCCAUGAUGUUAAAAGGUUGGGGAGAUGAGGAGGAACCAGCAAAGGAUUCUGCCACGGAACUGUCGGAGCAGUAGGAGGAACCUUGUACAACUUGAGGAUUCUAGUAGGUGAACCCUGGAAGGCCAGCGGUGGGGACUAAUACCCAGCAUGGGUUUAUUGUAAACAACUGUCCCCUCUCCUCUUCCCUGAUAAGAUUUCCAGGCUGGCGAUGGAGGCAACACAGCAGAUAUGGUGUGUUUUGCCUUCGGCAAGGCAGUCAGUCCAAGCUUGUGACCUCCUUGUCAUGCAACCAGAUGCCUAUGUUGUUGCAUGUAUCUGUAGGUGUCUUGCUCUGUGCAUGGGACAGGGGUUUCUAAUGGCAAACCAAUGCACCUGCAACUAGUGCUUCAUCUAUUUUGUGUUUCCACUCCAUUCAACUCCCUUUUCCCUGUCUCCCUCUAGUAAAGCAGCUUGGCAAAACCCCAGUCGUGGUUGAACCCUCCCAUCGCGCUCUCCAUGCUUGAACCUGAGGAGCUGAAUUUUGCUAGAGAAGAGCACACACCGAAAUCAGUGGCCUUUGCAUUCGCAGUCUCGGACCUCCAGUCAGCCCAGCCUAGCUGCCCUUCUGUUUCUCCAGUUUUCUCCAGCAGCUUCCCUUUCUACUCCUGCCAUACCUCCUCUCCCCUCAACCUUCACACCCUCCUCUCCAUCCUCACCCUUAGCUGAUGGCCUUACCCGACACUUUCUAAGAAAAUAUAAGCCACUGGGCAUGUCUGUCUUCAUCUUCCUACCCCCACACCCACAGGGCCACCUGCACUUGGACCAGUUUUGUCUUUCCAGCCUGUAUCUGCUGAGCGACACACCUCCUCUCAAGCCAGUCAGUGGUUGCCAGGAACUGAGCACUUUUUAAAUGAAGGGGGAUGCUCUGCCUGCCACUGCCCUGCUGUACUCCCUCUGUGGAAAGAUGGAAGGACACCAGGCACCCAGCACGGGGGAUGGAGCUGGGGGCCACUGGGACCCCGGGUUCUUUGUCCUGCCAUGGAUCCCACUCCCCGCCUGGAAGGUUAAGAACAUCACCUUCAGCUGUGGAGAGAAGGAGAAGAGGAAUGUCUCGCCAGUACCGUAGAAGCCUUUGCUGAGUCGAAUAGCCGAGGAGGAGAAGGCCCCAAACAUCUGGAAAGAAGAGUUUGCAGUUUGCCGCUGGAAGGGAGCUGGAGGUCCACUGGCAGCACCACCCUUCAGGCUUGCACCAGCAGCACCGGCCCGCUGUGGCCCUCCAUCUGCCUGUACAGGCUCCGCAGACUGAAGCCGUCCCUCGACGUGCGAAAGGCCAGACUCCAGGAGUGUCCAGCGACUCUCGGGGGGAGGUGGAGGCUGAUCUAAGGGACAGGACUGGAGGUGAGUGAGGGUUCCCGGUCCUCCCACCCUCCUCGCCCCAUAUCCUUCGGGUCCCAGGAGGACUGAGGUUGAACAGCCACCGCUCACCCAAGCACGGUGCUUUGCAGGUUACAGGGUACUUUACUGUUUCCAGGGGACUUUCACGCCAAUUAGCAGGAACCCUCAGAGAGAGGGAUUAGUGUUCCCAUUAUAUAGAUGAGGAAGCUGAGGCUCAGGGAGGUGAAGCAACAUGCCUGAAGCCCACAUGGGGAGUAAGUGGCAGAGCCAGGAUUUGAACCCAGGUCAGAGGGGUCACCUUGGCCCCCAGCAGCCAGAGAAUAGAUGAGACGCUGAACCCUUCCUCCUAAUCCCCGCAUCUCAUCCUCCCACCCCCACCCCAGCUUUGGCGUCAGUUCCCAAGGACUAGAUUAGUUCAC